GGGUUCAAUAAUGGUAUUUUGAAAGUACUAGAGAAGGAAUUUCCUUUGAACCGG
rnacentral:tRNA from 1 species